GCAAACUUGGUCAUUUAGAGGAAGUAAAAGUCGUAACAAGGUUUCCGUAGGUGAACCUGCGGAAGGAUCAUUAGAGAAAGAAGUGCGAGUGCGUGAGCACGAGCCUUUUUUUUGCUUUUACACCUGUGCACCUGUUGCCCUCGGGCAAUUUUUAACAAACAUAUACAGUCUUGAAUGUAAACAAUACCAAAAAAAGUUAAUACAACUUUCAACAACGGAUCUCUUGGCUCUCGCAUCGAUGAAGAACGCAGC
rnacentral:misc_RNA from 1 species